ACUCGACUACAUGAAGCUGGAAUCGCUAGUAAUCGCGAAUCAGAAUGUCGCGGUGAGUACGUUCCCGGGUCUUGUACACACCGCCCGUCACACCAUGGGAGUCAGUAACGCCCGAAGCCGGUGACCCAACCAAUUCAGGAGGGAGCCGUCGAAGGUGGGACCGAUAACUGGGGUGAAGUCGUAACAAGGUACC
rnacentral:rRNA from 1 species